rnacentral:rRNA from 1 species
UACAGAGGGUGCGAGCGUUAUCCGGAAUGAUUGGGCGUAAAGCGUCUGUAGGUGGCUUUUUAAGUCCGCCGUCAAAUCCCAGGGCUCAACUCUGGACAGGCGGUGGAAACUACCAAGCUGGAGUACGGUAGGGGCAGAGGGAAUUUCCGGGUGGAGGCGGUGGAAAUGCGGCAGAUAUCGGGAGGAACACCGGUGGCGAAGGCGGUUCUCUGGGCCUUACCUGACGCUGAGGAGCGAAAGCGUGGGGAGCGAACAGG